GUCAUAUGAUAGAUGUGAUCAACUGAAGUUCAAUAGUGAUUCCAAAUGAAAACUCCUUUUCAUUAAUCACACUACUAUGGCCAUAGACUUAUGGACUCAGCUUCUCAAAUCUCAUAGGACUACUCUCUAUCAUGGUCGAUAGAUCCCAUAUAGAUACACACAUUGCUCGCAUAGCUCAACCAACUGAAGCCAACAUCCACUACAAAAACUCAUAAUCAAGUUAAUAUUUAUGUAUUAUCAAACUAUAGCAGUCUUACUGUGAGUAACUGUGACACUGC
rnacentral:lncRNA from 1 species